AAACUUUCAGUGUCAGGGGUAUUCUCGGUGAAAUCUAUGUAUAUAGAUUUGAUAAAGACUGGUCAAAUCCCAAAGUUGCUUCACAUUUGAAAAAUUAAGGUACCUUUAAAGGUAAAAGUCCUUAUGUGUUUUGUUAACAAGGAAGUGAUCUUGAUUAAGGAUAACUUGGUAAAGCAUAGUUGGGACGGUAGAAAACAGUGUUGUUUCUAUGAUCAAGAUUAAUCCAUCCAACAUCUUUUUCUCAAAUGCCCACUAGCCAAAUUACCAUGGCUCACGUUACAUUUGGCCUUUACUGUCAGCCCCCCUAAUGGCAUUGCCACUUUAUUUAGCUUUUUAUUUUUCUUUUUCUUUGGUUUACAUGUGGCCUUUACUGUGCUUUUCAUUUUCGUUUUCUUUGGUUUAUUUUAUUUAUUUGGUUUUUUUCUUUUGUUUUUCUUUGUUUCUUUUUGUUUUCAUUCUAUAUUUUUGGUAUAUGUCAACACCAUUUUUAAUACACAUUUAACAUUUUUAAAUACAAAUUUAACAUUUUUAAUACAUGAUCAACAUUUUUCUAUACACAUUUUAAACAUUUUUCAAAUGCUUGAUUAA
rnacentral:rRNA from 1 species